AAACCUCCAGCCUAAGCCAACAUGGUUAUUCACAUGAUAAUUAAGAAAAUGCAAAUGACGCUGGAGACGUUGAAGCACUAUCUCUUGAUUUUUAGUUUCCAUCAAGAAAACAAGGUCGGGCUUUUCCUUUGCCACAAGGGCCUUUAGAACUUGAACUGUCAGGGGAUUGCCCAAACUCUGACAAUUCCAGCUUAGUAGCUUCAUUUGUGAGUGGGUGGCUGUUGAGGGCUAGCCACCAUAGCCCAUUUUCCUACCUCCUUUGCGCGAAGAUAGGUGUGUCUAGAAGAAGAGCUUCAUCUAGGUUAUGUUGUGCUGAAUUUCUCAUCUCAUAGGGAUUGUAUCGCUUAAGCUUUUUAGCAGCACCUACUUUAGGAGUAUUAGCGCAGUGGUGAUAGAGUUGCCCUGCAGUAUUCCAUCUUGACGGCAAUGCAACUUUGGAGCUGCAGAGAUAGUGCUAAGUGCUGCAGUUGGUUGCUGCAGGGCUGCUGCUUCAGCAAUGGCACUAGGAGGCAAUAAAGGAAGAGGGUGGGUCGAAGAGGGAGGAGUUUUAGGAAGGCUGAGGACUUGCACCCAGAAAGCACAACUGGAAAAAUCGUAGCAGUGUAGUGGUGUAUUGGGUAUCCAUGGCUUGAAGAUGAUCAAAUGACUAGAAAAAAGCCAAGGCCCACCAUCCAGGAUUCUCUGUUUGUCUAAAGCUGACUGAAAUUUUGCAACAUACAGGCCCGCCUCUCAUUGGGAUAUCUCCACUUGGCCAGUUCGCCAGGCAUGCU